rnacentral:rRNA from 1 species
GACGAACGCUGGCGGCGUGCCUAAUACAUGCAAGUCGAGCGAGACUCUUCGGAGUCUAGCGGCGGACGGGUGAGUAACACGUGGGCAACCUGCCUGUAAGACUGGGAUAACACCGGGAAACCGGUGCUAAUACCGGAUAAUCCUUUUCCUCUCAUGAGGAAAAGCUGAAAGUCGGUUUCGGCUGACACUUACAGAUGGGCCCGCGGCGCAUUAGCUAGUUGGUGAGGUAACGGCUCACCAAGGCGACGAUGCGUAGCCGACCUGAGAGGGUGAUCGGCCACACUGGGACUGAGGCACGGCCCAGACUCCUACGGGAGGCAGCAGUAGGGAAUCUUCCACAAUGGACGAAAGUCUGAUGGAGCAACGCCGCGAGAGCGAUGAAGGCCUUCGGGUCGUAAAGCUCUGUUGUUAGGGAAGAACAAGUAUCGGAGUAACUGCCGGUACCUUGACGGUACCUAACCAGAAAGCCACGGCUAACUACGUGCCAGCAGCCGCCGUAA